UACGUAGGGGGGCAAGCGUUGUCCGGAUUUAUUGGGCGUAAAGAGCGUGUAGGCGGCCUGACAGGUCUGCUGUGAAAACUCGAGGCUCAACCUCGAGAUGUCGGCGGAAACCAUUUGGCUAGAGUCCGGAAGAGGAAAGUGGAAUUCCUGGUGUAGCGGUGAAAUGCGCAGAUAUCAGGAAGAACACCCGUGGCGAAGGCGGCUUUCUGGGACGGUACUGACGACUGGAGACGCGAAAGACCGUGGGGAGCGAACAGG
rnacentral:rRNA from 1 species